UUAGUAAGUGAUUAGUUGUGAGACGAAUCGAAGCUUCGAAGUGAGCCUUCAAAAUGAUUUUAAUUGCAAACGUAUUAACUAUAUUGUGGAUGGUUUCACAAGUGCAAAGCUCGUGUUUCGCAGGUUCAAAGGAAAUGGAUGAACAAUGCAGCACAUAUUGCUAUCAAGUAGUGAAACCUCUUUUGCAACACGUCAACUCGGCCAACUCGAAAGAGAAUAGAUUCGUCGAACUAAAUAACAAGAUUAAAGAGCUAGAAGCGAAAAUAGUGAAUUUAAAUGAAAUGGCAGAGCAAAACGAUGUGCAAUUGGCAUUGCAAGCGCAGAUAAUUGCCUUGUAUAAAAACAAUACGAACAACUAUGAAAAACGCAUUGCGGAACUUGAGAGUGAAAACACAAAACGAAAACCCAAAGUUAAAACUAAUAAAGAUGAUACACUUAACGAUUCUUAUUCAAUGCCAAUGGAAGUCUCUUCAUUGGAGAAAUUUGUUCACCUAGAUGAAAAGUAUCAUCCGGUGCCAACAUGUCCCAGUGGUUUAACUGGCCUUGUUGAAAUUCCAGUUUACAUACGAAAUACCAACUAUUACUCAUGUGAUUCUAGCGUUGCUGGUCCUGGCUGGACAGUUAUGCAACGGCGUAUAAAUGGUAGAUUGAAUUUUAAUCGUAAUUGGGCUGAUUACAGAAAAGGAUUCGGUGAAUUAAAUGGCGAGUUUUUCAUGGGUCUCGAACAGAUUCAUUUACUGACCACCUCGCAACCUCACGAGCUGUAUAUUUUACUUGUGGACUUUGCGAAUAGAGAACGUUAUGCCAGAUACAGUGACUUUUCCAUUGGCAGCGAGGAAGAAUCCUAUGAGUUAAAGGAACUUGGAUUAUUCUCCGGCAAUGCUGGAGAUGCUCUGCGCAGUCAUGAACUCACACAAUUCUCCACUCCAGAUAGGGAUAAUGAUCUGGACGAAGGUAGUUGUGCUGAGAAUUUCAAAUCUGGUUGGUGGUUUGGCAAGUGCUAUGAAUGUAAUCUUAAUGGAGAAUACACUAUAGCGGACCCUCGAAGUGAUGAUCUUCAGGGUAUUGAGUGGCGAUCUUGGAAGCACAAGCCGUUGAAAUUCAGUCAAAUGAUGAUAAGGUCAAAGACAAAAAUCAACAAGAGUCAAAUUCUGCUAUGACGUUUUGAUUUCUCACCAAGGAUUAUAAGAAGCUAAACUUGGGUUUUUUAAUAUAAAAUAAAUAUAUUUUUCAUUUACCAUGGAUCACGAUAAAUUGUAUAGAAAUAGGAGAUACUGUUUUGUGUCCUUUUUUUGAUCAAAUUCCUAAAGUUUAUAAUUAUUAUCAAGAAUACGCGUUUCGAGUUUUACAAUUCUUUUUAAUGUAUUCUAUUGCACGAUCCAGCGAAAUGUUAACAGUCCCAAGUAAAAAUAUGAGCUGCUUACAUGUAAAUAUCGAUAGCUUGUAAGAUUCAGCGAUGUUUCCAAAACAAUAGUUUUUAAAAAUAAAUGUUAUGCGAUUAAUUGGUGUAAUAAUAAGUAAUUUUAUU